GUCUCMAGUAGCAGUCUGAAAAGAUGAGAUGCUAACCACCAGUUCAGAUUUGUAAAAAUCAAUACCUUGUUGCCAUGGUUACGCAAUAAAAAGUAAAACAGUGAGAGMAAAACUCCUUCCUUUGGCACAGCAUCAUAAACCAGAGGGAAUAAUUGACCAAAUGUGCAAUGAAUCAACCAAAUCAACCAAGAAAGUUAUGAGCUAAAGUCUAAAACGGAUCCAAGCUCCAGCGGACYGCCACCAUGAGCUGUGCACUUCUAGAAUCAUGAGAACUUCCAUGCCAUAGAUUCAACAAUGUGUCGUAAAUGUUCCUUGGAGGUUUUGGUCCAUGUCGACACGGUAGCAUCAYACGAUGCAGCAGAUUUGUUGGUAGUGCUUCUCCUUUAACCAGUGUGAGCUGAUCUGAGCGYCGUGACGAGAUGCAUCGUCCUGUUGGAAGUGACCAUCAGAGGAYGGAAACACUGAGAAGGAUGGGCAAAAUGAACUGCAAUGUUCAGCUAGUCUUUGGGGUUUCAUCUACAUUCAGUUGGUAAUAAGYUACCCAAAGUGAGUCCAGCAUUUAACCCCCACACCAUGACACUCCCACCGCCAGCCUCAAACACUGAAGGGAACAUGAAGCACAGUAACAUUACUGCUACAGAAGAGAGUGAGACCAAGGAGGGGUACCAAGCAUCUCUGCCCUCUCUGGGUAAGAAAACUUGCAGACAGGAAGGGAGUGUUGCCAGGGAAACAGACAUGCCCAUCACGAGGGAAUGUUGUGUUGCCAGGGAAACAGAUAUGUGCCUUCUGCGUGCGGUCUUGGGAAAAAAGKGKGCCAGUUAGGAGUUUKKUAUCGCACACAUCAAGAUCUCUAGAAACCAGUGUUUGCUCAGACAAGUAGGCCAGAGAGSAAGAACUGUCUGGAGGACUCCCUUCACAACUUUUGAUAAAGUUUGAUACUGAGCUUUUCAAGCUACCCUYGUUAUUUUCACAACCUGGCCCAAGUCAUGUUGGAUCCAACAUCUCUCCAGUGUGUUAUGUGUGAACUGUUGCGUUAGCUUUCUGCUCUCAGGUGAGAGGCAUGAGUAGGGUUUUCUGCUGCUGUAGCACAUCUGCUUCAGCGGUCGACAUGUUAACCAUGGAGUCGGCAUGGUUAAUUGUAAUAAGUGUUUGUUUUUUUUUUGUUUGUUUUUUUAAGUUACAGAGGCCUUUCCUGAAAUUCUGAAAUCCCAAAAAAAGGAUUUUCAAAGUGCAACACAAAUAAAAGUAAGA